GCGUCUUACAUGCGCUGUGAUCAUUUUGAUUAAUUAUUUUUAACUAAUCGUUAAGUCCAAGUGUCCAUGAACUAUAAAAUAUGGCAGAGGAUCUUCCUUAUUUGAAAUGCGUGCCCUCUAAUGAAAGUUAUUCCGAGAAGGAUGAGAUGGCGCUCGUUCAAAAGAGUGGGAUCUAAAUUUUCUGUGGUGUAGGAUUACUAACUGUUAUGAAGUAGACGAUGGAGAAACGCACAUUCGACUUAGAAGUGUACUUUUUCAGCGGCCGUUCAAUUAUCACCAUGCUACGUGCAUUUAGGAAUCAAUUAUUGCAACUGCAGGUGUCGUGCUCUUGAUGGAAAAUCCAUUAUUUUGUGAGUAGAAAGCUUUAGGGAAACCCUAGACAGUUUGUGCACAUAGAACGUGUGUUUUUUCAGAAUUAAUAUCACUGGACCAUGGAUUUUUGAAGACAACAAUCAAACAGUUACGGUAAAGGUCAUCUCCUUACCGAACGAUUUUAAGUGGCCAGCGCGCUCACCCGAUUUAGCACCAUGUGAUAUUUUUCUAUGGGACUACGAUGAAAUCUUUAGUUUACAUCGACCAUCCAAAGACACUUGCUCACCUGAAGAGCAAUUCAUAUUCAUGCUGCUAUCUAUACACCGAUUCACAGAUAUCGUCAUCCACUUUGGUCUAAAGCUUCACAACCUUUUUAUAUUUUUAUGUAUUUCUACCUUAUCUUUGGCAUUCCCAAAGGUCUUUUUCUCUGUCAGGUUCUGUUCCAGCACCACCCGUGCGCCGUAUAGUAAUGGGUUUUGGCUUUUCCGUGCAAGUCCA